rnacentral:rRNA from 1 species
AACGAACGCUGGCGGCAUGCCUAACACAUGCAAGUCGAACGAACCCUUCGGGUUAGUGGCGCACGGGUGCGUAACGCGUGGGGAUCUGCCCUUUGCUUCGGAAUAACAGUUAGAAAUGACUGCUAAUACCGGAUGAUGUCGCAAGACCAAAGAUUUAUCGGCAAAGGAUGAGCCCGCGUAGGAUUAGCUAGUUGGUGGGGUAAAGGCCUACCAAGGCGACGAUCCUUAGCUGGUCUGAGAGGAUGAUCAGCCACACUGGGACUGAGACACGGCCCAGACUCCUACGGGAGGCAGCAGUGGGGAAUAUUGGACAAUGGGCGAAAGCCUGAUCCAGCAAUGCCGCGUGAGUGAUGAAGGCCUUCGGGUUGUAAAGCUCUUUUACCAGGGAUGAUAAUGACCAGUACCUGGAGAAUAAGCUCCGGCUAACUCCGUG